rnacentral:snRNA from 1 species
GCAAUACAACUCUCAAGG